GUAAAAUAUAAUUGAUUGUCUAAUAGCUUAAUAAGUAGAAUUGUAUAUGGCGCUACUAUGCCAUAUUGCCAGAUCACUAUUUCCAAAAUAAAAUGUUAAGCGUUUAGUAAUUAAUAAAUGCUAUCAACCGCCUCGGCAACACGUAGCAGAUAUAUUAGACGAACAAAAACGUGAACAGUUAGAAACAAAAGACGACAAAAAAACCGUAACUUUCAACAACCAAUUAGAAAAA